UAGGGAUGGCCUUUAUGGAUGACUAGAUGGUGGGUAAUGAGAAGGGCUAAUAUUGGCUGAGUAAUGACAUUGUUGGGUUGGUGGGAAACUUGGCCGUAUAGGAAUGGCAGUCAGAACAUGGGUUUCUCCCUCAUUCUCACCCUCUUCAUUUGCCCCAGUUUUUUUUGCAUUUAUCAAAGCAUGAUGAUCAGAUUUGCCUCUUUUCAGACCCACUUUGAUCAUUUUGCCAGUGAAGACCAAAUUCAG
rnacentral:lncRNA from 1 species